rnacentral:rRNA from 1 species
GAUGAACGCUGGCGGCGUGCCUAAUACAUGCAAGUCGAGCGAACGGACGAGAAGCUUGCUUCUCUGAUGUUAGCGGCGGACGGGUGAGUAACACGUGGAUAACCUACCUAUAAGACUGGGAUAACUUCGGGAAACCGUAGCUAAUACCGGAUAAUAUUUUGAACCGCAUGGUUCAAAAGUGAAAGACGGUCUUGCUGUCACUUAUAGAUGGAUCCGCGCUGCAUUAGCUAGUUGGUAAGGUAACGGCUUACCAGGGCAACGAUGCAUAGCCGAACUGAGAGGGGGAUCGGCCACACUGGAACUGAGACACGGUCCAGACGCCUACGGGAGGCAGCAGUAGGGAAUCUUCCGCAAUGGGCGAAAGCCUGACGGAGCAACGCCGCGUGAGUGAUGAAGGUCUUGGGAUCGUAAAACUCUGUUAUUAGGGAAGAACAUAUGUGUAAGUAACUGUGCACAUCUUGACGGUAACUAAUCAGAAAGCCACGGCUAACUACGUG